rnacentral:miRNA from 1 species
AGUGGAGCCUGUGUAUCCAUGCUUUGGUCUAGCAGGCCUGUUCCUCCCACAGGCCCAGCUGAUAGCCCAGUCUAUCGG